rnacentral:tRNA from 1 species
GGGCGGGUCCUAGCCAGGAUAGGGCACGAACGACAUGAAAUGUCGGUGCAAGCCUCCUAACAGGGAAAAGGGAGAGAGCUCGGGGUCACGGGUUCGAAUCCCGUCCCGCCCGCCA